rnacentral:tRNA from 1 species
GUUAUCUUGGCAGAUAAGUGCAAUAGAUUUAGAAUCUUUUUAUGUAAUAAAUUACAGAUAAUA